UGGGGAAUAUUGCACAAUGGGCGCAAGCCUGAUGCAGCCAUGCCGCGUGUAUGAAGAAGGCCUUCGGGUUGUAAAGUACUUUCAGUCGGGAGGAAGGUGGUAAGGUUAAUAACCUUGGCAAUUGACGUUACCGACAGAAGAAGCACCGGCUAACUCCGUGCCAGCAGCCGCGGUAAUACGGAGGGUGCAAGCGUUAAUCGGAAUUACUGGGCGUAAAGCGCACGCAGGCGGUUGAUUGAGUCAGAUGUGAAAUCCCCGGGCUUAACCCGGGAAUUGCAUCUGAUACUGGUCAGCUAGAGUCUUGUAGAGGGGGGUAGAAUUCCAUGUGUAGCGGUGAAAUGCGUAGAGAUGUGGAGGAAUACCGGUUGCGAAGGCGGCCCCCUGGACAAAGACUGACGCUCAGGUGCGAAAGCGUGGGGAGCAAACAGG
rnacentral:rRNA from 1 species